rnacentral:rRNA from 1 species
UGGGGAAUUUUGCGCAAUGGGGGCAACCCUGAUCCAGCCAUGCCGCGUGGGUGAAGAAGGCCUUAGGGUUGUAAAGCCCUUUCAGUCGUGACGAUGAUGACGGUAGCGACAGAAGAAGCCCCGGCAAACUCCGUGCCAGGAGCCGCGGUAAUACGGAGGGGGCAAGCGUUGUUCGGAUUUACUGGGCGUAAAGGGCGCGUAGGCGGACGGUCAAGUCAGAGGUGAAAGGCCCGGGCUCAACCUGGGACGUGCCUUUGAAACUGAUUGUCUUGAGUGCGGAAGAGGGUGACGGAAUUCCCAGUGUAGAUGUGAAAUUCGUAGAUAUUGGGAAGAACACCGGUGGCGAAGGCGGUCACCUGGUCCGCAACUGACGCUGAGGCGCGAAAGCGUGGGGAGCAAACAGGAUUAGAUACCCCUGUAGUCC